rnacentral:tRNA from 1 species
GCACCACUAGCUCAAUUGGAUAGAGCGUCUGGCUACGGACCAGAAGGUUGCGGGUUCGACUCCUGCGUGGUGUGCCA